UACGUAGGGUGCAAGCGUUGUCCGGAAUUAUUGGGCGUAAAGAGCUCGUAGGCGGUCUGUCGCGUCGGAUGUGAAAAUCCAGGGCUCAACCCUGGACCUGCAUUCGAUACGGGCAGACUAGAGUUCGGUAGGGGAGACUGGAAUUCCUGGUGUAGCGGUGAAAUGCGCAGAUAUCAGGAGGAACACCGGUGGCGAAGGCGGGUCUCUGGGCAUUAACUGACGCUGAGGAGCGAAAGCAUGGGGAGCGAACAGG
rnacentral:rRNA from 1 species